ACAUGGAGAUUGCCUCCUUGGGGAGUUUCCAAAAAAGUCCUGAUCCUUGGAAAGGGAUCUGAUUGCUAACUGAAGAACCUGAAAACAACAGAACAACCGGUGCUGUAGAUCUGUUAUGAGGAAAAUCCAAGUUCUGAUCCUGGAAGGCAGAUUUGUUUUAAUGUAUCAAUUGGAACUCAUCAAAAUCUAAACAGAAAGAAGAGUUGGUGGAUUUAAGGGUAGAAGAAUGCAGAAUUGAUUUAUCCUAUCCAGAAAAAUUCAGGACUUGUUAAUUGAAGGAACUAUAAGUUAUCUUGAUGUAAUGGACAUUUAAAGUCCACAGUGUUUUUUAUCACAUUUUCUAUUUCUCUGCUAAGAUAUUUCUCCCUUCAGUGUUCUAAAGCCUGGCAUGCCAGAUCAGUCUGAUGAGCUCAGUAUUUACUCUAAAUAUUUGGUCUUUUUAGAGCUAUUAUUAUCUAGUUACUUGCAUUGUCACCAUCUUAGAUGAUUCCAUGAAAAACAUGCUGCAUUAGCUAUGUGAAGAACUAGUCUUCUCAGAGUACAGGAAUGGGCAUAUAUGACCUGUAAAUCUGAAAAUGUAAAUCAAGAUAUGGCUGAAAAGUCUGAAAAGAGUGAAUCACAAUUAUCCUUAUAGAUUACUGUUACUGUAAGACAACUAUCUGCAGAAUGCAUGCUUAAAUCUGAAGUAGGUGAAUGACAGGUGCCUCUCUAGAAGUUCCUAGCUAAAGCUGAGUAGAAUCUAUCGGGAUCAAAGAACUUAGAAUAAGGUUGUCUUGGAUCCAUUCUGGUACAAGUUACCCUCUAGGAUGUCAUAAUUCUGUUAUUGCAUGGAGCAUAGGAAAGGGGUGUACUCCUGCAUCCAAGCAUAGGAUGCAAAGGAAGAUUGGGCCCACUUUUCUGUCGCUACUAAGGAAAUGUAUUUUCUGAUCUGAUGAAAUGUAACUGCUAGCAAACACAAAAGUGUUUCUAAUUGCAUUGAAUUCUAGCAUUGGUUGAGCUUUCCCUGAGUGUUCACUACUAUAAUUGUAAGGCAAAUGCCAGCUUCAAACUAAAGGUGACCUAAAUGUCGCACCACCUUGUAACUGUUAAUGUGUGCUUAGGAAUUAAUGAGCAUAGUGGCCACAUUUCUUAUGCACAGCAACUGGUAAAUCUCAUCACCUGCCUUCUAGACACAAAAUCACCCUCAAUCGUCUAUGUGUUCCCUAAACUAGUCUCUUUUCUUGCAAUUGUCAGCUGGUUUCUAUCAGAUUAUAACAAACCACAGAGAAUAUGGAUCACAAAAGUUAGGGCUUCUGUGUUAGGCUGUAUGCAACAUAAGUUUUCUCUGACAAAACCUGUUCAAUAUCUCUUCAAUGAUUUCUCCAAAAUCACAAAAUACAUUUGACUUUUAUCUGGUGUACUUAAGAAUAUCUACCUGAAAAGAAAAGGAAUUGGCUAUAGUAUCUGUACUUUUUCCUCUUUCUUACUGUUUUUUGUCCUUGCUGAAACAGCAAAGGACAGUGCUAUGACUGACAGGAUAGCAAGAAAAGAGGAGGAAAGGACGUUUUGAAAGGUGAUCAGAAUUAGCCAAUUUAGAGGUCACAGAUUUAGCGGGUUUUAACAUUUUCAUGGCCUACCUGAGAACUAGAUGUUUCAUAACUGCGUUUGGAUAAAAUCAACUUUGGACAUAGUAAUUUGUAGGGAGACACUCUUCCUCCUAGAUUUUGUUAUAGCAAUAGAAGGCUAAUGUAUUCAUUUACAGUAAAAAGAUAAUACAGUGUAGAAGAAGGGAACUGAUGUCAUUUGAGAUCUGUUUGAGACCAGGGCUGUGAAGCUACACCGGAUUACUGUUUCCAGUUCUGGUCCUCAUACUGUGUGAAGCCCAACACAAGUGACUGACAAGACAUUCAGCAGCUAAUGCUGCAGUUUGCUAAAGUUUAUGAACAAAACAGGUUUCUGUCAGGAAAGAGCGAGGACCUUUUCAACUGAUUGCCCAAGUGCCAAGCUGCUGUUAUAUUAAGCAGUACCAGUACUUGAUGGGAGCAGAGCUGUCAAGCAGCUGUUAAUGUUUACUUUGACAGUAAACCCAAAGAUUGCGCUCCAUCUGAGAAUUUGAUGUUUUGUUGGUGAAGCUGUGAUUGUUUUUUCCCUUGUGCUGUACUAAUAGACACUGAAUUUUAGCUCACACUUCAUGUUGCAGUCGUAAGGUCCUUCAGCAUUUUCACCCAGCUGGCCGUAUUUACCACUCUGAAUAAUUUUUCUAAAAACAGUAGAUCUUGAUGCAUCUCCAUCAGCUCAAGGCCACUGAAGUUGCCUUGGGCAUCAGUGCAAUUUUUAGUUUCUAAGAGCAAAAUACAAGAAUGUAAACUUCAGUAGACUGCAGUGCUUUAGUAGUCUUUAAGUAACUAGAUUAAUCACUAAGUAUUUGGGUGAUAUUUCAUAUUGAGUAAUAAUCAAGUCCUUUUGGCAUUAAAAUUCUAAAGUAUGUUUGUACUCACAUUUCUGUCCUGUGACCAGAAAUCCAAACUGAGGGCAUUCAAACAAAUGAAGCCUUGUUGCAUAUGUACGUAUUUAUUUCAUAUGUCCUUGUCUCUGCACCGUGGUCAUUCCAGCUUCCCGUAAGUUCUGUAAUCUCCCUCAUUAAAGUAUGUGUACU
ensembl:lncRNA